UUUGUAUCUAUAACCCUAACUCCAUUAAAGUUCUUCAUUCCCAAUUAAGCUUUCAUUGAUUACUUUGUGAGUACCACUCAAGGGUUUUUUGGUUUCCAACCAUUAAUUCCUAGAGCUUUUUGUGAACAAGGUAAGAAAUACUUUUACUCAAUUAUCUGAUGAAGAUUAAUUGGUGCAUAUAAUUUUUUUUCCUUAUUAUCAUCCUAAACCCUAAUCCUAACCCUACUAUAAUUAGCAAAUUGCCGACUGAUAUUCUAAUAUAUAUAAUCUCUGUUCUGGGCAUUCGAGAAAGUACAGCUACUAGCAUACUUUCAAAACAUUGGCGUCAUCUCCAUUGUUACGUCACUCAUAUCAAUUUCCCAAAAUUUAUAUGGACUGACGGUACAACAAAUCAGUACCGACUUAAUUUAUCAAAGCACCAAAGUAUGAUCCACCAUGUCUUGAAUUCAUAUAGAGGCAAUCGAGUUUAAGGUGGACAUGUCAUUUGUUGAAGAUGACAAGUGUGAGAGGUGCUUUGAGUUUGCCUUGCCUAAAAAAGCUGAAAAAAUUCACAUAUUUGGUGUCCUUAGUGUGAGCCUUGAAUUUCUUAGACUUCCAAAUACCAUUUUUUUACACAGUCUUGGCUGCAUUAAAGACUUGCUUCUAUCUAACAUGCGUGCUAACGAUCAAGACUUUGGUCACAAAUUCUCUUGCUCUUGAAAGUUUGACGGUUUCAUUUUAAUUCGCGACACGAUUAGCUUAGUUUAUUUGACACUGGAGUGAGUAUUUGAGGGGUCAUUAUUUGAGGCCGAGUGAUGCAACUUAGUAACACUCCUAAGUUUACCGAACUCAAUUAUACAGAAGGAGAUGGUAAACUCAAUCAUGUUGGACUCCUUUCCGGGAUGCCAUGGUGCAUACGUGACCAACUCCAACGGUUGUGCCUCCUAGUGGCUCCAUAUAGGCAGAUUGAAAUGUUGAAUGUCUACGUUAAAUUUGUGUUUGAAGUAUUUGGAAAUGACAGGAUAUGUGGGUUAUUUGGGUUUGUACCUCAUUAACAGUGCUUCAAGAAUUGACAGUCUCGUCUCGUGUAUUCAUGAACAUGCCCUAGAUUGUGCACACUUUGAUUUUCGA